rnacentral:rRNA from 1 species
AGUGAACGCUGGCGGUAGGCCUAACACAUGCAAGUCGAACGAGUGGCGGACGGGUUAGGAAUACAUCGGAAUCUACUCUGUCGUUGGGGCUAACGUAGGGAAACUUACGCUAAUACCGCAUACGCUUGCCUGUGCCGAUGUCGGAUUAGCUAGUUGGCGGGGUAAAGGCCCACCACGGAGACGAUCCGUAGCUGGUCUGAGAGGAUGAUCAGCCAACCUGGAACGGAGACACGGUCCAGACGCCUACGGGAGGAAGCAGUGGGGAAUAUUGGAAAAUGGGCGAAAGCCUGAUCCAGCCAUACCGCGUGUGUGAAGAAGGCCUUCGGGUUGUAAAGCACUGUUGUUGGGAAAGCGGUACCCAAAGAAUAAGCACCGGCUAACUUCGUGCCAGCAGCCGCGGUAAUUC